rnacentral:rRNA from 1 species
CCUACGGGAGGCAGCAGUGGGGAAUAUUGCACAAUGGGCGCAAGCCUGGUGCAGCCAUGCCGCGUGUGUGAAGAAGGCCUUCGGGUUGUAAAGCACUUUCAGCGGGGAGGAAGGCGUUAAGGUUAAUAACCUUGUCGAUUGACGUUACCCGCAGAAGAAGCACCGGCUAACUCCGUGCCAGCAGCCGCGGUAAUACGGAGGGUGCAAGCGUUAAUCGGAAUUACUGGGCGUAAAGCGCACGCAGGCGGUCUGUCAAGUCGGAUGUGAAAUCCCCGGGCUCAACCUGGGAACUGCAUUCGAAACUGGCAGGCUAGAGUCCUGUAGAGGGGGGUAGAAGUCCAGGUGUAGCGGUGAAAUGCGUAGAGAUCUGGAGGAAUACCGGUGGCGAAGGCGGCCCCCUGGACAAAGACUGACGCUCAGGUGCGAAAGCGUGGGGAGCAAACAGGAUUAGAUACCCUAGUAGUC